rnacentral:rRNA from 1 species
AUUGAACGCUGGCGGCAGGCCUAACACAUGCAAGUCGAGCGGAGCUGCGGACGGGUGAGUAAUGCCUAGUAAUCUGCCUGGUGGUGGGGUAUAACGUCGGGAAACGGGCGCUAAUACCACAUAAUAUCAGAUCACCUUCGGUCGUAUUAGCUAGUUGGUGGGGUAAAGGCCUAACAAGGCGACGAUCCGUAACUGGUCUGAGAGGAUGAUCAGUCACAUUUGGACUGGGACAAGGCCCAGACUUCUACGGGAGGCAGCAGUGGGGAAUCCUCCGCAAUGGACGCAAGUCUUACGCGGCAAAGCCGGGUGAGGGAUGACGGCCUUCGGGUUGUAAAGCUGUGUUAAUCGGGAAGCGGUACCGAAAUAGAAAGCCACGGCUAACUACGUGCCAGCAGCCGCGGUAAUAC